UACGAAGGGGGCGAGCGUUGUUCGGAAUCACUGGGCGUAAAGGGCGCGUAGGCGGCCCUCCUUGUCGCGUGUGAAAGCCCCGGGCUCAACCUGGGAACGGCGCGCGAGACGGGGGGGCUGGAGUUCGGGAGAGGAGCGUGGAAUUCCCAGUGUAGAGGUGAAAUUCGUAGAUAUUGGGAAGAACACCGGUGGCGAAGGCGGCGCUCUGGACCGAGACUGACGCUGAGGCGCGAAAGCUAGGGGAGCAAACAGG
rnacentral:rRNA from 1 species